CAGGUUCAGAUGGUAGAGGUGAGGAAAUGGGAGGGCUUAGGUUGAGAGUUGGAGGUUCAGCGGAAGUAUUUGGAGGGGUAAGUUCAGGGGCGUUGGGGUCAGAGGGUUGAACAUCAGAGGGAAUGAUGUUUGGUUGUUCUAUGGGUGGUGAGGUUACUUCAGGUUCAGGUGGAGGUGGUUGUGGUUGUUGGGAGGCAAGGUUUU
rnacentral:lncRNA from 1 species